GGGUGUUAGCUCAGUUGGUAGAGCAUCGGACUUUUAAUCCGCUGGUCGAAGGUUCGAAUCCUUCACACCC
rnacentral:tRNA from 1 species